rnacentral:rRNA from 1 species
CCCGAUUGAUCUUGCUGUUAGUCAUAUGCUUGUCUCAAAGAUUAAGCCAUGUAUGUGUAAGUAAGAACUAAUUCAAACUAUGAAACUAUGAAUGGCUCAUUAAAUUAGUUAUAGUUUGUUUAAUGGAAUCUACUACUCAAAUAACCAUAGUAAUUUUAGAGCUAAUACAUACAACAAACCUUGACUUUUAGAAGAGAUGCAUUUAUAAGACAAAAAGGUCUACACACGUUUUGCCUGUUGCUCUGAUAAUUCAUGAUAACUCGACUAAUUAUACAACUUUUAUACCAAUGAUGCAUUAUUCAAAUUUUUACCUUAUCAACUUUUGAUGGUAGGAUAGUGGCCUAUUAUGGUGAUAUCGGGUGAUGGAGAAAAGGUUUGAUUCCAAAUAGAAAGCCUGAGAAAUAGCUAUCACAUCUAGAAAAGGUAAUAGGAGUGCAAGUUACCCAAUCCUGACACAAAAAGGUAGUGAUAAUAAAUAAUAAUACUAGGCUUUAUGAAUUUAAUAAUUGGAAUAAGUAUAAUCUAAAUCUUUUAACGAGAAUCCAUUGAAAGGCAAGUCUGGUGCCCACAGUGUGGUAAUUUCAACUCCAAUAGUGUAUAUUUAAGUUGUUACAAUUAAAAAGCUCAUAGUUGGAACUAGGCUUGGGUCAUUCGAUUCGCUUCAUGAUGAGCACCAGUUUACUUAUCCUUACUGUUGAUGAUGCACUCUUAGCCUUAACUAGCCAAGUUAUUCUUUUGAUGCUGUUAGUUUGAAGAAAAUUAGAGUGCUUAAAGUAGGCCUAUCCUUAUAUACAUUAGUAUAGGAUAACAUCAUAAGAUUUCAGUCCCAUUGUAUUGGCUUUUGAGAUCAGAGUAAUGAUUAAAAGGGACUGUUGGGGGCAUUUGUAUUUUAUAGUCAAAGGUAAAAUUUUUGGAUUUAUGAAAAAUGGACAACUAUGAAAGCAUUUGCCAAGGAUGCUUUCAUUAAUCAAGAAAAAAGUUGAGGGCUCAAAGAUGAUCACUGUCUUAGUCUUAACCAUAAAUGAUGCUGACCAAAAAUCAACGGAUGUUACUUUUAAGACUCUGCUAGCACCUUAUAAGAAAUCAAAGUCUUUAGAUUUUGAGGGCAGUAUGGUCGCAUGGUUGAAACUUAAAGGAAUUGAUGGAAGGGCACCACUAGGAAUGGAGCUUACAACUUAAUUUGACUCAACUUGAAAAAACUUACUAGGUCCAGAUAUAGUAAAGAUUAACAAAUUGAUAGCUCUUUUUUUAUUCCAUGGGUGGUGGUGCAUGGCUAUUCUUAGUUGGUAGUGAUUUGUCUUGUUAAUUCCAUUAAUGAAUGAGACCUCAGCCUGCUAACUAGCUACAAGGAGGUGAUCUUUCAUGGCUAGCUUUUUAGAGGGACUAUGGCCACUUAAGCUAAGAAGUUUGAAGCAAUGCCAGGUUUGUGAUGUCCUUAGAAGUUUUGGGCUGCACAAGCGCUACACUGAUAUAUUUAAUGAAUCUAUGGCCUUAGCUAACAGGCUGAGGAAAUUUUUGAAAUUUUCUCAUUAUGGGGAUAGAUUAUUGCAAUUGUUGGUCUUCAACAAGGAAUUCCUAGUAAGCGUGAGUCAUCAUCUUGUGUUGACUACAUUUUUGUUUUUUGUACACAUCAUUUAUCAUUCUUACUAAUUGAAUGGUUCGAUGAAGUGUUUAAAUCAUGGCCACAUAGAUGGUUCACUGCCUGUGACAUCGUAAAAAGUCCACAAACCUUAUUAUUUAGAGGAAUGAGCAGUCAUAACAAGGUUUUCAUAGGUGAACCUGUGGAAG